GCGCCUUCUCUUUCUGUGGUCACGAGAAAUGCCAAAAUAAGCGCGCGGAAUCGUGCCGCCGCGAGUAUCCUUCCUACGAAAGUGUUUUGCCUCUAGGAGGUUCAAAGAAGGAUGUAAAACCUUCAGGGUGCGCUCUGCCUUGCUUUUCGCGCGUUUCCAAGGCCUGUUCCGUGCUUUUUGUGACCAGACGGUGUGCAUGUUCUAGGUUCAGGUUAUCAGGUUAGGUCCGUGUCCAGAAGGGCGCGCGUGGCUACUUUCCAAAAAGGAUUCGAGCUGGAACUGGGGCAGCAAAACGCAUGACAUCAUGACGAUCACCAUCGUGAGCGUUCACUGCCAGUAGCACCAAAAACACGUACACACAGGCACUUAUUGAUGGGGCAAAAUUCGAACAAACUACAUUCCGUGGUGUCCGGAUGCUGGUGUUCUUCGAGGGAUUGGGAUCGUAAAAUUCCGACAUAAAUCCAACCCAAUACGUGGCCUAGGGUUGACGAAGCAACCGAUGAUCGCCCAAGAUUAGUACGAGAUCAAGAACAAGCGAUCGAGCGAGCCAAGUAGUAGAACGACGAACAAGAGCGUCCAAAUGGGGACCGACUCAGCUAUCAUGAUUCAGCUGAUUAUUUGAAGUUCUCUCCUUCCAGCAUAAACAGCUGUGCGAAAAAUGGAAUUGUUGUACAUGGUACGAUUACGUUUUAGGUGAUAUUUUAAGACUUUCUUUUUAGGUCGCCCAAUAGUUUGUUUUAAGAAGUGAAAUUAAUCUAGAGAUAUAUUUUGUGUAUAUAGAUUUAUUUUUGCAUAAUUAUGUCUAGUUUUGUGCCAUCAAAACAGCAUAUGCGAGAAGUUCUAGUUUUUUGCUUUAAUUUAAAGAAAACGGCGGCCGAAUCGCAUCGAAUGCUUGUGGAGGCCUAUGGUGACAGUGCGCUAUCGGAAACCACUUGCAGAGAUUGGUAUCGUCGGUUUAGAGAAGGCUUUUUUGAGUUGAGCGACAAGAAACGUGAAAAUCGACCUAGAAAAUUCAAAGACGACGAAUUGCAGGCUCUUUUGGGUGAGUAUAGUAUCCAAUCGCAAAAAAAGCUUGCUCAACAGUUAGGUGUUACUCAAGCAGCCAUUUCCCGACGUUUAAUUGCCAUGAGAAAGGCAAAAAAACCUGUGAAAAAGGAACCCCAUGAAUUGAAAGAUAGUCAGAAUAAGCCUAAGCAGGACGGUAUAAUAAACGCAAAACUAGAAGGCGAUUGAUGAAAUCUCGAUCGGAUGAGGAGGUCUUCGCUGGGACUGAUACGUAUUUUGAGAGUCAGUGAAAAUCGUUCUACAAAACCAGUUUCGAACAUGUGGAAAGGUAUUGGACUGUUUGUAUUCAAAGAAGGAAACUAUAUCGCUGAAUAAAUUCAAAUGUUGAUACAGCUCUUA